AACGAACGCUGGCGGCGUGCCUAAUACAUGCAAGUCGAGCGGACAGAAGGGAGCUUGCUCCCGGAAGUUAGCGGCGGACGGGUGAGUAACACGUGGGCAACCUACCCUGUAGAUCGGGAUAACAUCGAGAAAUCGGUGCUAAUACCGGAUAAUCAUUUGAAGUGCAUGCUUCGAAUGUAAAAGAUGGCUCCGGCUAUCACUACGGGAUGGGCCCGCGGCGCACUAGUUAGUUGGUAAGGUAAUGGCUUACCAAGGCAACGAUGCGUAGCCGACCUGAGAGGGUGAUAGGCCACACUGGGAAUGGGACACGGCCAAGACCCCUACGGGAGGCAGCAGGAGGGAAUCUUCCGCAAUGGACGAAAGUCUGACGGAGCAACGCCGCGUGAGUGAUGAAGGUUUUCGGAUCGUAAAGCUCUGUUGUUAGGGAAGAACAAGUGCCGUUUGAAUAAGGCGGCACCUUGACGGUACCUAACCAGAAAGCCACGGCUAACUACGUGCCAGCAGCCGCGGUAAGAC
rnacentral:rRNA from 1 species